rnacentral:rRNA from 1 species
AUUGAACGCUGGCGGAAUGCUUUACACAUGCAAGUCGAACGGUAGAGGGGGCAACCCCUCGAGAGUGGCGAACGGGUGAGUAAUAUAUCGGAACGUGCCCAGUCGUGGGGGAUAACGUAGCGAAAGUUACGCUAAUACCGCAUACGAUCUACGGAUGAAAGCGGGGGAUCGCAAGACCUCGCGCGAUUGGAGCGGCCGAUAUCAGAUUAGGUAGUUGGUGGGGUAAAGGCUCACCAAGCCAACGAUCUGUAGCUGGUCUGAGAGGACGACCAGCCACACUGGAACUGAGACACGGUCCAGACUCCUACGGGAGGCAGCAGUGGGGAAUUUUGGACAAUGGACGCAAGUCUGAUCCAGCCAUUCCGCGUGCAGGACGAAGGCCUUCGGGUUGUAAACUGCUUUUGUACAGAACGAAAAGGUCUCUAUUAAUACUAGGGGCUCAUGACGGUACUGUAAGAAUAAGCACCGGCUAACUACGUG